UGGGGGAUAUUGCACAAUGGGCGAAAGCCUGAUGCAGCGACGCCGCGUGGGGGAUGAAGGCUUUCGGGUUGUAAACCUCUUUCGCUAUCGAACAAGGCCCGCUUAGGGUGGGUUGAGGGUAGGUGGAGAAGAAGCGCCGGCUAACUACGUGCCAGCAGCCGCGGUAAUACGUAGGGCGCGAGCGUUGUCCGGAAUUAUUGGGCGUAAAGGGCUUGUAGGCGGCUUGUUGCGCCUGCUGUGAAAACGCGGGGCUUAACUUCGCGCGUGCAGUGGGUACGGGCAGGCUUGAGUGUGGUAGGGGUGACUGGAAUUCCAGGUGUAGCGGUGGAAUGCGCAGAUAUCUGGAGGAACCCCGAUGGGGAAGGCAGGUCACUGGGCCAUUACUGAAGCUGAGGAGCGAAAGCAUGGGUAGCGAACAGG
rnacentral:rRNA from 1 species